GAUGAACGCUAGCGGCAGGCCUAACACAUGCAAGUCGAGGGGCAGCACGUCUUCGGAUGGUGGCGACCGGCGCACGGGUGCGUAACGCGUAUGCAACCUACCUCUUACAGUGGGAUAGCCCAGAGAAAUUUGGAUUAAUACCGCAUAGUAUACAGAUUCAGCAUUGGGACUGUAUUAAACAUUUAUGGGUAAGAGAUGGGCAUGCGUUCUAUUAGUUAGUUGGAGUGGUAACGGCACCCCAGACAGCGAUAGAUAGGGGCCCUGAGAGGGGGAUCCCCCACACUGGUACUGAGACACGGACCAGACUCCUACGGGAGGCAGCAGUGAGGAAUAUUGGACAAUGGGCGAGAGCCUGAUCCAGCCAUGCCGCGUGCAGGAAGACGGCCCUAUGGGUUGUAAAGCUCUUUCACCGGAGAAGAUAAUGACGGUAUCCGGAGAAGAAGCCCCGGCUAACUUCGUGCCAGCAGCCG
rnacentral:rRNA from 1 species